CAGGAGUGCUGGCCAGAAGCAAGCAUCUCUGUGGAGGAAGGCAAAGGGCGGAGGAGGUUCGAGGGUAGCUACCGGGCAUGGCCUUGCUCAGCAAGGGGAGGAAAAGCCUGAAGGGCACGAGAAGGGGAUAGAGAAGGGCAGGCAGUAGGCGUGAAGCUGCGAGCAGAGUAGAGAGCAACUUGGCAGAGCAGCAAGCAGAGUAGGCAAGUGUUGAGGUUUGCGUGGUAGCAGCAAAAGCCCAGAGCAUCAAGAAGCAGGAAGUGAGGAGAAGGUAAGUGAAGGGCAGGCAAGGUAAUGGGAGGCAAAGGCAAGGGGAAAGGGGGGGGUAAGGGAGAAAGAAGGGAUGGGGAUGGGAGGGAUGGGUGAAGAGCAGAGCGGAGGGAAGGGCUGAGGGGAGGGCUGAAGGCAACCUAUGAUGAAAAAAGAAAAGAAAAAAUAAGAACAAAAAAUAUGAAAAAAGAGAAAAAAAGAAAAGAAAAAUAAGAAAAAGAGAAAAAAUGAAAAGAAAAAAAGAAAAAAAUGAACAAAAAGAGUAAAAAGAGAAAAAAAGAAAAAAAGAGAAAAAAGAGAAAAGAAAAAAAGAACAUGAACAAAAAAGAGAAAAAAGAGAAAAGAUAAAAAAAGAAAAAAGAUAAAGAAAAGAGAAAAGAAAAAAAGAAAAUAGAAAUAAAAAGAGACAGAAAAAUAUGAAAAAAAGAAAAAAGAAAAAAGAAAGAAAAAAACAGUAGAUGAAAAAAGAAAAAACAAAAGGAAAAACGAAUAAUGACAAGAGAAGAAAGGUAAAGAGAAAAGAAGAAAAAAGCCAAGUCAAAAAGUAAAGAAUAACUCGAAGGAAGGAGUGGAUGGCAAGAAAUACAGAGAAAGCAGUGCAUAGCACAGCAGAGCAAAGCAAGGCAAAAUAGCAGCCAAAGCCACGAGAAUCAAGAAGUCAGUGAAGAGCAGGAAAGGAAUGGAGGAAUCUGUCCAGAGCUGUGCCCCUGCUUGCCACAGGAGCUGCGCGGGAGGAGAAGAACGUGGGCCAAAAGGUAAGAGGAGCUCCUUUGGGUUCUGGGCUUGAAGCAAAGCUGAGAAGCCAUGCCCGGGAGGAGGUGUGGGUAGCUACAGGCCACCUUGCUAUCUCCCCAAGAGAUGAGGUGCGUGGGCUAGGCACCGGGCAGGAGUGCUGGCCAGAAGCAAGCAUCUCUGUGGAGGAAGGCAAAGGGCGGAGGAGGUUCAAGGGUAGCUACCGGGCAUGGCCUUGCUCAGCAAGGGGAGGAAAGCCUGAAGGGCACGAGAAGGGGAUAGAGAAGGGCAGGCAGUAGGCGUGAAGCUGCGAGCAGAGUAGAGAGCAACUUGGCAGAGCAGCAAGCAGAGUAGGCAAGUGUUGAGGUUUGGCGUGAGU
rnacentral:lncRNA from 7 species